UGGGGAAUAUUGCACAAUGGGCGCAAGCCUGAUGCAGCCAUGCCGCGUGUGUGAAGAAGGCCUUCGGGUUGUAAAGCACUUUCAGCGAGGAGGAAGGUGGUGAGCUUAAUACGCUCAUCAAUUGACGUUACUCGCAGAAGAAGCACCGGCUAACUCCGUGCCAGCAGCCGCGGUAAUACGGAGGGUGCAAGCGUUAAUCGGAAUUACUGGGCGUAAAGCGCACGCAGGCGGUUUGUUAAGUCAGAUGUGAAAUCCCCGGGGCUCAACCUGGGAACUGCAUUUGAAACUGGCAAGCUAGAGUCUCGUAGAGGGGGGUAGAAUUCCAGGUGUAGCGGUGAAAUGCGUAGAGAUCUGGAGGAAUACCGGUGGCGAAGGCGGCCCCCUGGACGAAGACUGACGCUCAGUGCGAAAGCGUGGGGCAGCAAACAGGAUUAGAUACCCUGGUAGUCCACGCUGUAAACGAUGUCGAUUUGGAGGUUGUGCCCUUGAGGCGUGGCUUCCGGAGCUAACGCGUUAAAUCGACCGCCUGGGGAGUACGGCCGCAAGGUUAAAACUCAAAUGAAUUGCGGGUCUAGCUG
rnacentral:rRNA from 1 species